AGAGUUUGAUCCUGGCUCAGAACGAACGCUGGCGGCGUGCCUAACACAUGCAAGUCGAACGGAGUUUAUUUUGUAGCAAUACGAGGUAAACUUAGUGGCGCACGGGUGAGUAACACGUAGGUAACCUUCCCUUAAGAGGGGGACAACUCAGGGAAACUUGAGCUAAUACCCCAUAAGACCACGAACUGAGAUAUUUGUGGUAAAAGUAGCAAUACGCUUAUGGAUGGGCCUGCGGCCUAUCAGGUAGUUGGUGAGGUAACGGCCCACCAAGCCUAAGACGGGUAGCCGGACUGAGAGGUCGAUCGGCCACACUGGAACUGAGACACGGUCCAGACUCCUACGGGAGGCAGCAGUGGGGAAUUUUGCACAAUGGGCGAAAGCCUGAUGCAGCGACGCCGCGUGGAGGAUGAAGGCUUUCGGGUCGUAAAGCUCUGUCAGAGGGGAAGAAAUGAGACUGGCUAAUAUCCAGUUUUCUUGACGGUAUCCUCAAAGGAAGCACCGGCUAACUCCGUGCCAGCAGCCGCGGUAAUACGGAGGGUGCAAGCGUUGUUCGGAUUUAUUGGGCGUAAAGCGCGUGUAGGCGGUUUCUUAAGUCUGAUGUGAAAGCCCUGGGCUCAACCCAGGAAGUGCAUUGGAUACUGGGAGACUUGAAUACGGGAGAGGGUAGUGGAAUUCCUAGUGUAGGAGUGAAAUCCGUAGAUAUUAGGAGGAACACCGGUGGCGAAGGCGGCUACCUGGACCGAUAUUGACGCUGAGACGCGAAAGCGUGGGGAGCAAACAGGAUUAGAUACCCUGGUAGUCC
rnacentral:rRNA from 1 species